rnacentral:rRNA from 1 species
CCUACGGGUGGCAGCAGUGAGGAAUAUUGGGCAAUGGGCGAGAGCCUGAACCAGCCAAGUCGCGUGAAGGAUGACGGCCCUACGGGUUGUAAACUUCUUUUGUCAGGGAGCAAGUGGGUCCACGCGUGGGCUUAGCGAGAGUACCUGAAGAAAACGCAUCGGCUAACUCCGUGCCAGCAGCCGCGGUAAUACGGAGGAUGCGAGCGUUAUCCGGAUUGAUUGGGUUUAAAGGGUGCGUAGGCGGAAUAUCAAGUCAGCGGUAAAAUUUCGGGGCUCAACCCAGUCGUGCCGUUGAAACUGAUGUUCUUGAGUGGGCGAGAGGUAUGCGGAAUGCGUGGUGUAGCGGUGAAAUGCAUAGAUAUCACGCAGAACUCCGAUUGCGAAGGCAGCAUACCGGCGCCCAACUGACGCUGAAGCACGAAAGCGUGGGUAUCGAACAGGAUUAGAUACCCGAGUAGUC